GGGCAGAAAGGUGAAAAUUGUGGCCAGAGGCAGAUUGUGGUAAAUUACAAAAUUGGCUCAUAAUCCUUUAUUCCUUCUUGCCUCCAUGCUCUUUGCAAUGUGACUUUGCCACUUUUCUCAUUAAGAGAUGGAUUCUGUUCUCCAUUGCCUUCUGUCUGGACUGGUCUUGUAACUUGUUCUGGUUAAUACAGAGGUAAAUGUGAUGACACAUCAGAAGCCCAGGCCUCAAGCAAGCUUUCCCACUUGUUCUCUUGGAACCCUUCCCAGCUAUCAGGGAAGUUGGUGACUUAAUCCUCGUUAUACCCUGAUUUUGGACAAAUUUUACAAGAAGAAUAGGACUUCUACUUCUCUAUGUCUACAUGCACCUGGAACAGUGCUAGGUCUAUGCUUACAAAUUGAUUGGUUCAGGUCACCGCCAUGAGCCUCAGGACAGAAAAUUGCCGGAUAUGAGAGAGAGAGAGAGAUUUGACUGGGCUAAGAAAGAAAUGAACACGAUUUAGAGAUGGAAAUGGUGACAUAUGGGCCUUUGAAGCCUCCCAUGUUCCAGAGAAGCCCCUGUGAGCUGUGACUGCAAGAGUCAGCACCUAAAUUAGAUCAACACUACAACAUCAAAAAGCCAGCUUGAUGGCACAGCGGGGAGUGAGGAAGACUCGGUGGACAAAUCUGACUGGAAAACAAGUAGGCGUUGCAGAUGAUUGCCAGCUCAAAAUAUCAAUUCUGUUGAUCUGUUUUUUCUUCUACGCUCAGAAGACCUGGAACCAUGGUAGGAAGUGGGACAGGGAGCAUUUGGACAAGCUGUUCAAGAACUGAUCAUGCUCAUGUGUAUGGGAAAACAGAUGGAGGAAGAGAAAUUCCUGAAGAGCACAAGACUGGUGGGGCAAGGAACAAGCCUACUGAGAUGAGUUGCAGAUUUGAAGAUGGGAGAAAUGGUUUCGUUGUCUACCAUGUAAAAACUCAUUUAUGCAAGAUGCUUGAUAUCUGAAUUUCAAUUUCUUCAUUAUCAAAAUGAAUAUUAAAAAUACUCUACUUCUUAGAGUUGUCAAAAA
ensembl:lncRNA LINC01911 long intergenic non-protein coding RNA 1911